rnacentral:rRNA from 1 species
UACGUAGGGUCCGAGCGUUGUCCGGAAUUACUGGGCGUAAAGAGCUCGUAGGCGGUCUGUCGCGUCGGUCGUGAAAACUUGGGGCUUAACCCUGAGCUUGCGGUCGAUACGGGCAUGACUGGAGUUCGGUAGGGGAGACUGGAAUUCCUGGUGUAGCGGUGAAAUGCGCAGAUAUCAGGAAGAACACCCGUGGCGAAGGCGGCUCUCUGGGACGGUACUGACGCUGAGACGCGAAAGCGUGGGGAGCGAACAGG